rnacentral:rRNA from 1 species
GUGGGGAAUCUUAGACAAUGGGCGCAAGCCUGAUCUAGCCAUGCCGCGUGAGCGAUGAAGGCCUUAGGGUUGUAAAGCUCUUUCGUGGGGGAAGAUAAUGACUGUACCCCAAGAAGAAGCCCCGGCUAACUCCGUGCCAGCAGCCGCGGUAAUACGGAGGGGGCUAGCGUUGUUCGGAAUUACUGGGCGUAAAGCGCACGUAGGCGGACUGGAAAGUCAGGGGUGAAAUCCCGGGGCUCAACCCCGGAACUGCCUUUGAAACUCCCAGUCUUGAGGUCGAGAGAGGUGAGUGGAAUUCCGAGUGUAGAGGUGAAAUUCGUAGAUAUUCGGAGGAACACCAGUGGCGAAGGCGGCUCACUGGCUCGAUACUGACGCUGAGGUGCGAAAGCGUGGGGAGCAAACAGGAUUAGAUACCCCUGUAGUCC